rnacentral:rRNA from 1 species
AACGUAGGAGGCAAGCGUUAUCCGGAGUUACUGGGCGUAAAGCGUAUGUAGGCGGUUGGGCAAGUGGCGUGUGAAAGCUCCCGGCUAAACUGGGAGACGACGGGUCAGACUGCCGAACUCGAGUCCGAUAGAGGGGCGUAGAAUUCCGGGUGUAGCGGUGAAAUGUGUAGAGAUCCGGAGGAAUACCAGUGGCGCAAGCGGCGCCCUGGGUCGGUACUGACGCUGAGAUACGAAAGCGUGGGGAGCGAACGGG